rnacentral:lncRNA from 1 species
AUUAGCUUCCCAGUGAAUUGGCUAAGCCAAUUCAUGCAAGAACCAAAAGAAAUACAUUUACAGGUAUUAUUCAAAUUAAUAAGAUACAUUAAAAAUGCACCUGGACAAGGUCUAAUAUAUAAUAGAAAUGAUAAUAUGGUCUUGCAAGGCUAUUGUGAUGCUGAUUGGGCAUCAUGUCAAGUGAGUAGAAAAUCAUUGACAGGGUUUUGCUUAAUGUUGGGAGAUUCACUAAUCUCAUGGAAAACUAAAAAACAGGCCACAGUUGCAAGGUCAUCAUGUGAAGCUGAAUAUAGAGCAAUAGCUCAGACAACAUGUGAAAUUACAUGGAUCCAUCAAUUAAUGGAUGAAUUGAGAAUUAAAAUUAAAAAACCUACAGAGCUCUUUUGUGAUAACAAAUCUGCCAUUUAUCUGGCAAAUAACCCUGUUUUUCAUGAAAGAACAAAACAUAUAGAGAUAGAUUGUCAUUUCAUAAGAGAAAUGAUAAAUCAAAGAAAAAUUUUCAUAAAGCAAAUAGGAACUAAGUUCCAAUUAGCAGAUUUUUUAACUAAAGCAUUAGGUGAUAAAGAGAUCACUAAUUCCCUUUUCAAGCUUGGAAUACUCAAUAUCUAUUCCAAGGCUUGAGGGGGGAGUAAAGGAAUUAACUCUGUAAUAAACAGAUUAGUUAAACAAUCAAUAAACAAGUUAACUCUGUAAACUCAGAGAUUAAUUAAAACUAAUCCAAUAUUCAGGAUAUAUGUGUUAUUAUGAAUAACAGAAUGAUUUGCAGGCAAUUAACCCAAAUAAAUAAGAAACUUAAGGAUACAUAUGCAAAAGUUUCAAUAAACAUGUGUGUUUGUAAUUAAAGGAAAGUUCGGGGUCACGAGUGCAAAAGUUUCAAUAAACAUGUGACGAAGUAAUUAAAGGAAAGCUCGAGGUUACGAGUGCAAAAGUUUCAAUAAACAUGUGCCGAAGUGAUUAAAGGAAAGCUCGAGGUUACAAACGCAAAAGUUUCAAUAAACGCGAUUCGUGAUUAAAAGAAGCUUGGGGUUGUUGUUGCAAAUAUUUCAAUAAAGAUUAUAACCGAAUAAUUAUAUUGAUUAGUUAAUUGAUAGUUAAUGAGUCAAUGUAAUUAGAUAUAAAUACAUGGUUAUUGUAAUCUUUAUUCAUUCAAUUAAAUACAAAGUAUACUCCAGUUAAAACCCGGUUCAGACGACCGGUUUAGUCUGGUUUAAUUCAGUUGAUUCUCCAACGGCUACUUGGGGAUUUAACUCCUCUUUCAAUGGCUCUACCGGCGAUCACCGGAGCUCCUGCUGGCUUAACUCCAGCUCCUUCCCCUUCAAGGCCGAGUCGUCGUUCUAACAUGUUGGAGGGAAAUCUUUGCAAGUCUCAUCAAGUUCAGAGACACCAGCAUUUCUCUUUGCAUCCAUUCUCGCUUUUCUAAGCCAUUUAGGAUAAUUAAUAGUCAGGUACUGAUUGAAUACAAUCCGAACACGGUCUUGGUCAUCAAAUUUAAAGAAUUUCUACACAGAAAAAAUUGUUGAGUUAUUUCUCAAAUAAUCAAAUAAAUUGAACAUAUAGAAGACAUACAAUCACAUAACAUACCAAAAAAUUUCCCAAAUUAUAUCUUUAUCCAACUGUUUAUACAACUGCUUAAUUAUACAACUUCUUAUAGUAAAUAUCUUUUAUCUAAUUCAUUGGUAGCUCAGGGUCUAGGAUGCAGUACUACGUGAUCAUCGGUGCGAUUGAUCACGUAGUCGACUUGAUAAAUGUCAUGGUCGACCGGCACUCGACGUCGCCGUUUCUGCACCGGAGAAUAUAUGCUCCGGCCGUAUCAUUAGGUCUCUUUUUAAGCCUACUUUCAUUUGUCAAAAUCGUAGAAUAACAAAAAAAAUCACCGAAAAUCCCCAAAUUUUAAAGAAAUUUUUGGCCAUUUUUAAGAGUAAAUACAUGUGUCAACCUGGAAUGAUUCUUUUCUGAACUGAAGUCCCAUACCUUAGUGGACUAUUCAUACUCUUUUUACCCACUAGUUAACAGAAUUUGGGAUUCUUACUCUAAGAAGUUUUUUGGUUUCGGAAAAAGUCACAAAUGGCAAAAGUUGAGCCCUUCCUUGUUGGGCUAAAGUCGAGCUCCCUUAUGGGUUAAGGUCGAGCCCUUUUUGGGGACUAAAGCGAACCUGAGUGGAAAAGAUUAUUUGGAGGAAGUAAAACUUUGAAAGGUCAAUAUGGAAGAAAUCGUCGCUAAAAUGUAAUACAAUAAAAAAAAGUUUAAUUUAUAUGGGUGCUCAUUUAGAGCUUUACAAAUCUCAAUUCAUACAUGCAAAUAAUAUAUAUUCAAUCACAUAUAUUCAAUGACAUACAUUCAAUCACGUACAUUCAUCAAAACACACAUUCAAUCACACAUUGAAUCACAAAUAUUCAAUUACACACAUUUAUUCUAAAUCAAAUUCGAUUAACCAAAAAAGGAAUAGACAUUGUUUUUUUGCAAUCACACACAUUGAUGUUAAGUGUUUUACAAUUUUUUUUUGAACAAUAUUUAAAAUAUCUAAAGUCUUACCUUUUGGUCGAGGUGUCGAAUUCAAAGUGUUAUCUUCUUCCCAAUAAUUUAUCGAUAACGGAAUAAGUUGGUUUAACUCAGAUGAAACAGGAACAACAGGAACAUUACUCGAUGAUGGACGAUUGAAGUCGUUGCUUGUAAACUUAGCCUGAAAAUAAAUGAAGAUAUUCAAAAAUUAAUCAAUUUAAAAACUAUUUUAAAAACAUUUAUUAAACUCACAUGUAUAUUUUCAAAUAACCGUUGUUCCAUCAUUUGAAGACGUUUUUCGUGUUGUAUUUCCAACGCUUCCAUUUGUUUUUCAACGGCUUUGGAAACUGCCAAUUCAAAUUCUUCAGUGUUUUGCUUCUCAGUUUCCUUAUUGCUCAUUUUCUUUCUCUUUUUAUUUAAUAACAUGGAGUUAUUGCCAACUCUAAAUCCCAGAAUGCGGCCAUUUUUUGUUCCCUUUGAUGCUUUAAGACAAGGUCCAAUAUAAUCGUUUUUAAAUAGAGGCUUACUCUGAAAUGUAGUUGAACCUUGAGACGAUAAAUUUUUGUCUUCGCUAUCUUCAUCAGAAUCACUAUCUUCUUGUCUUCGAAGUUCGUCAUUCAAAUUUUCAUAUUCGGCCUUUACGAAAAUCAAAUAUGAAACAAUUAAGAAAAAAUAAAUUUAUUAUGAAAUAUUAAUAAAUGAUCACUCACCAUCAUAGUUUUUCCUCUAUCAUCGCUAAAUCGUCGUUAAUAUUUGAAGACAUCAUCGCUAAAUCGUCGCUAUUAAUAAAUUUUAUUGUUCCCUGUCUCAACUAAUCGUCGCUAAAUCGUCGCUAAAUCAUCGCUAAAUCGUCGCUAAAAUAUUAUAAAAUAAAAUAAAAAAUAUUGAAAUUUAAAUGGGUGCUCAUUUAGAGUCUUCCAUAUCUCAAUUCAUACCUGAAAAUAAUAAAUAUACACACACAUUCAAUCACACACAUUUAAUUAAUCACACAUAUUCAAUCACACACAUUUACUAUAAAUCUCGAUAAUACUAUCAUUUAAUAAAUUAUAUUAACAAAAAAAGUAUUACAUAUUGAUUCAACAUUUAUAUGUUAUGAAAUAUAUGUUUUCAUUAGAGUUAAUAGUGUUCUACAAUUUUUUUGUUAAAAAUAUAAGAAAUAUUUAAAGUUUUACCCUUGGGUCGAGGUGUCGAUUUGAAAGUAUUUUCUUCUUCCCAAUAAUUUCUCGAUAUAGGAAUAAUUUAAUUCAUCUCAGAUGUAGGAACAAUAGGAACAUUAAUAGAUGAUGGAAAAUUGGGAUCGUUGUUUGUAGACUUAACCUGAAAAUAAAUGAAUAUAUUACAAAAUUAAUUAAUUGAAAAACAUAUUUAAAAACAUUAAUAAUUAAAAACAUCUAUUAAACUCACAUGAAUAUUUUCAAAUAACCGUUGUUCCAUCAUUUGAAAACGUUUUUCGUGUUGUAUUUCCAACGCUUUCAUUUGUUUUUCAACGGCUUUGGAAACUGUCAAUUCAAACUCUUUAGUGUUAUGCUUCUCAGUUUCCUCAUUUCUCAUUUUCCUUCUUUUUUUAUUUGAUAACAUCGAUUCAUUGCCAACUCUAAAUCUCAGAAUGCACGCAUUUUUCUUUCCUUUUGAUGCUUUGAGCCAAGGUCCGAUAUAAUCGAUCUUAAAACGAGGCUUAUUAUAAAAUGAAGUUGAACCUUGAGACGAUAAAUUUUUAUCUUCGCUAUCUUCAUAAGAAUCGGAAUCACUAUCUUCUUGUCUUUGAAGUUUUUCAUUCAAAUUUUCAUAUUCGGCCAUUAACAAAAUCAAAUAUGAAACAAUUAAAAAAAUAUAAAUAUAUUAAUAAAUGAUUACUCACCAUUAUAGUUUUUCCUUUAUCAUUUAAUGGCUUAUGAGUUGACAAGAAUGCCUUUUGAAAGGAAGGUUUUCGACCUAAUUUUAUAGUCUAUAUGAUAAAAACUAGUUAAAAAAAUUCAUAAAAUAUUUAAAUUUAAAUGAAUUUAAAAUAUAAACUUACUAAUGCAUGAUAGUUGGCUUCAAAAGAAGCCGAUCCACCCUUGUCCAUCAAAUAAUCUUCGUUUUUAUUUCGAUUUUCUGAAUUCUUUUUUGAUUUUUCUAUGAACUUGGUACCAAAAACUUAUCCAUCAUUAGUCCCCAUUUUUCAUUUGUAAUGUAUGUUGUAAAGGAAUUAACUCUGUAAUAAACAGAUUAGUUAAACAAUCAAUAAACAAGUUAACUCUGUAAACUCAGAGAUUAAUUAAAACUAAUCCAAUAUUCAGGAUAUAUGUGUUAUUAUGAAUAACAGAAUGAUUUGCAGGCAAUUAACCCAAAUAAAUAAGAAACUUAAGGAUACAUAUGCAAAAGUUUCAAUAAACAUGUGUGUUUGUAAUUAAAGGAAAGUUCGGGGUCACGAGUGCAAAAGUUUCAAUAAACAUGUGACGAAGUAAUUAAAGAAAAGCUCGAGGUUACGAGUGCAAAAGUUUCAAUAAACAUGUGCCGAAGUGAUUAAGGAAAGCUCGAGGUUACAAACGCAAAAGUUUCAAUAAACGCGAUUCGUGAUUAAAAGAAGCUUGGGGUUGUUGUUGCAAAUAUUUCAAUAAAGAUUAUAACCGAAUAAUUAUAUUGAUUAGUUAAUUGAUAGUUAAUGAGUCAAUGUAAUUAGAUAUAAAUACAUGGUUAUUGUAAUCUUUAUUCAUUCAAUUAAAUACAAAGUAUACUCCAGUUAAAACCCGGUUCAGACGACCGGUUUAGUCUGGUUUAAUUCAGUUGAUUCUCCAACGGCUACUUGGGGAUUUAACUCCUCUUUCAAUGGCUCUACCGGCGAUCACCGGAGCUCCUGCUGGCUUAACUCCAGCUCCUUCCCCUUCAAGGCCGAGUCGUCGUUCUAACAUGGUAUCAUCAGUUGGAAACGAUACACAUAUCGAUCCAAAUAUAUUCUCCACACAAAUUCCGCACAACUCUGGACAGAAUCUUGAAGAAUCAAAUUCUUCAAAAGAUUCUGAAUUUUGGACGACAGACUCAUCAAGCUCAGAAAGCUUCUUCAAGAGGAAAAGAAGGAAAAAUGCAAGUAAAAAGAAGAAAAUUCAGAACAAGAAAAAGAGGAACCACAUCUCUAGGAAAUUACCCUAUUUUUUAUCUGCUGGUGACCAUCCAGGUGCUCAGAUGGUGUCUGACAAGCUAACUGGGGAAGCAAAUUAUGUUUCUUGGGCCAACUCCAUGAAGUUAUCCCUGGUUUCCAGAAAGAAGACAGCAUUCAUCAAUGGGAAGAUAAAAAAGCCUACAGAUGAGUCAAGUGAAGAUUUUGAAGAUUGGGAGAUGGUCAAUGGCCUUGUCUUGUCUUGGAUUAUAAAUGGAGUCUGCCCUCAGAUAGCUUCAACAUUAAUACACACAGAAACAGCAUAUGAAGCUUGGGUAGAGCUUCAAGAAAGGUAUAAACAAAAGAAUGCACCUAAGACUAGUCAAUUGAGGUAUGAAAUCAAUACAUUAUCUCAAUCUAGUGAUAGCAUUUCUGUUUAUUUUGAUAAGUUUAAAUCUCUAUGGGAUCAAUACAUAGAGAUAGAGAAACCUGAAUGUAAAUUCUGUAUAACAUGUGCCCCAAUCUAUUCUAAAAAAAUUGAAAAAGAUAGGACACACCAAUUUUUGCUAGGUCUAAAUGAAGAUUUUAUGACCUUAAGAAGUCAAAUCUUGGCAUAUUCAGAAUUACCCUCUAUGAAUCAGGUCUUUUCCUUAGUAAUUCAAGAGGAAAAACAGAAAUCCAAUUUUAAAGAAAAAUCAGGUUUUAAUUCUUCUUCUAUGUUUGCCAAAAAGGAAGAAAAGAAGGAAGAAAAUAAGAAAAAAGGAAUAUAUGGGAAAAAUGGCAAGAAAUUAGACACCAAAUUCUACUGUGAUAACUGUAAAUUUUUUGGGCAUAUUAGAGAAAAUUGCUAUCACAUAGUAGGGUUCCCAAAUAAAAAGAAAGAUCAUCAAAAGAAGCCUAAAGAUCUGGCUAAUCAAGCAAAUCUCUCAACUGAAUUAAGCAGUGAGGAAUUACUGUUGCUUAAGGAUCUUUUAAGCAAAUCUACUGGUAUGUCUUUCUCAUUUAAUACUUUAAAUUAUAGAAAUAUGUGGAUAAUAGAUACUGGAGCUUCUCAGCAUAUGACUGGGAACCUUGAAUUUUUUGAUAAAACUCCAAAAGAGGAAUUUGAUCACUAUGUGACUAUUCCUAGUGGAAAAAAAUGCAAGGUAAAAGCUAUGGGAAAUAUAACUCUUUCAAAGGAUUUAAUUUUGAAAGAUGUACUAUAUAUACCACAAUUUAAAGUCAAUCUAAUUUCAGUAAAUAGAUUGACAUAUCAUUCAAAUCUUAACAUAAUUUUCUCUAAAUAUGGAUGUAAUUUUCAGGAAAGCAAGUCAGAGAGAGUGAUUGGGCAGGGUGAGUCUAAGAGUGGACUUUACAUACUUAAGCCAAAAUCACAUGAUCUUGCAAACUCAUCCAUAGAAAUUGAAAAUUGGCAUAAAAGGCUAGGACACAUCUCAACAGAGAAGAUGAGGAUACUCAUCAAGGCUCAAAGCAUAGAUGUUAAAAAUAGUCUUUUAAAUUCUGAAAAUUGUAAAAUAGAUGAUAAUACUACUGUUUUGGAUAAUUGUUUUUCAAAAUUAAAUAAAAAUCUUUCAAAAAUUAAAGAUUCUUGUGAUAUAUGCCCUAUUGCAAAGCAAACUAAAUUAAAAUACCAAAAUAGUACAUCAAAAACAAAAUCAAUUUUUGAACUUAUUCAUAUUGAUAUUUGGGGUAAAUUCCCAAUAACAACUCAUGAUGGUUUUUGUUUCUUCUUAACCAUAGUUGAUGAUUUUAGUAGAGUCACUUGGACAUUUCUACUAAAAUCAAAGAAUAUGACUAUAAAAAUUAUAGAAAAUUUCAUAAUUAGAAUCAAAAACAUUUUUGGAAAAAAUAUUAAAAAUAUUAGAAGUGAUAAUGGAGGAGAAUUCACCUCAAAUCACUUCACUAAAUUAACAGAGGCAUAUGGAAUAAUUCAUCAAUUCACAUGCCCAUAUACACCUCAACAAAAUGCCAUAGUUGAGAGAAAGCAUAGGCACCUAUUAGAAGUGGCUAGAUCUUUGCAUUUUCAAGGUGGUAUUCCCUUAAUAUAUUGGGGUGAAUGUAUCCUAACAGCCACAUACAUAAUAAAUAGGAUACCUUCCAAAGUUUUAAAAAACAAAACUCCAUAUGAAAUACUAAACAAGAAAAUACCAAUAUAUGAAUCAAUGAAAAUUUUUGGUUGUCUAUGUUAUGCAACAACCAACAUAAGAGAACAUAAAUUCUCUCCAAGAACCUUUAGAGGAAUCUUCAUGGGUUAUCCCCCCAAUACAAAAGGCUAUCUAGUCUUAGAUAUAGAAACUAAGAAAUUUCAUAUUUCUAGAAAUAUAGCUUUUAGAGAAACAAUUUUUCCUUUCAAGGAUAAUAAUCAGUUAAUUUUAAAACAAAACAUAACAUCACAUGAAGAUAUAUAUAAUAAAAUUAUAUAUCAACAUUAUGAGUCCAGAAGCAAUUAUAAAAAUCUAAUAGCAUCUGAAAAUGGACAUCUUCAAAAUAAGAAGUUAGAAUCUCAAAUCUCUGAAAAAACAAAGAUAUUGGAUUCUAAUAAUAAAAAUUCAGCUAUACCUGAACAUAAUGAAGAUAUGAUAAAUUCAGAUACUAAAACACUGAAAAAUGGUCAAGAAAACCAUAAAAAUUCAGAUAACCUCAAAAAUAAAGAAAAUAUGCUUCUUAAUUCUCAAAUAAGCCAAAAAGGCAUUGAACAUACUCAGAACUCAACUCAUGAGGUUCAAAAGAAUUUUAGUGAUAAUCUGAGUAGUAGUUCAUACCAAUUAGGCAGGAAUUUGAAAAAGAGGAAAUCUGAUAAAAACAACCUUCAAAACAGUCCAAGUAAUACCCUGGACAGAUGUUUAGAAGAAAAUUUAGAAACUAGCUCAGAAGGAAUAAAUUCUGAGCUAGCUCAUAAAAAUGCUCUGGACACUCAAUUUUCAUGUCCAAAUAACACUUUAAAUUUAGAAAUUAGCUCAGAAGGAAUAAAUUCUGAGCUAGCCCAUAAAAAUGCUCUGGACACUCAAUUUCCAUGUCCAAAUAGCAUUUUAAAUACAGAAAAUAUAAAUGACAGUAUACAAACAAUUGGCAAAGAGGUCAAUUCAGAAAAUAACUUAAGAAAGUCAGAUAACAACUCAAGGAGCUUUUCUAAAAAUAAAAAUAAAAAUGCUCUGGACAGUUGUUUAAACCAAACAGAAAAUGAAUCUGAAUCUAUUGAAAAGGCAUCAAAUGAUAGCUCAAGGACUAUCUCUGAAGCUCCCAAUAGGAAUAUAAUAGAAAAUGACCUAACCAAGUCAAUAAAUAGUUCAACAAGCAUUUCUGAUUCACAAAACACAAAUGCUCUGGACAACUGUUCAAAUAAAACAGGAAACAACUCAAAACAAAUAAAUUCAAAUUUAAAGGAUAAAACUAGCCUAUAUGGUAGGAAAAUAACUAAACCAAAGCAAUUUCAAGACUAUUAUCUUGAAAAUGAAAAAGAAUUUCAUGAAUCAAAACAUCCUAUGAGCAAUCAUGUUUCAUAUCAUAGGACAAGUAAACAACAAAAAUAUUUUUUAAAGCAAAUAACAAUUCAUGAUGAGCCCAAUUCUUUUGAUCAAGCUUCAAAACAUCCAAAAUGGGUUGAAGCAAUGCAAAAAGAAAUGGAAGCUCUCAUUGAAAAUAAUACUUGGACUCUUGCUUUGCUUCCAAAAGAUAGGAAAUCCAUAGGAUCAAAAUGGAUUUACAAAAUAAAAUAUAAACCAAAUGGUGAUAUAGAAAGAUACAAAGCAAGGCUAGUAGCCAAAGGCUUUACUCAAAAAGAAGGAUUUGAUUUUUUUGAGACCUUUGCACCAGUGGUCAAAAUGGUCACAGUCAAAACCAUUAUAGCUAUAGCAGCCAAGAAAAAUUGGAAUUUAUACCAAUUGGAUGUAAACAAUGCUUUUCUUCAUGGUGAUUUAGAUAAAGAAGUUUAUUUAAAACCACCUCAAGGUCUUCUAAAAGAAGGAGAUAAAAGGGUGUGUAAAUUAAACAAAUCAUUAUAUGGCUUAAAACAAGCCUCAAGAAAAUGGUUUGAAAAACUAAGGGGUGUACUUUUAAACAUUGGUUUUAAUCAAACUAAAUCAGAUUACUCUUUAUUCACAAGAGAAAAAGAUCAAAACAUGAUAUAUCUCUUAGUUUAUGUGGAUGAUAUUAUAAUAACAGGAAGUAAUGAACUAGAAAUUGGAAUUAUUAAAAUCCAAUUAGAAAAUCAGUUUAAACUGAAAGAUCUAGGAAGAUUGAAUUACUUCCUAGGAAUUGAAGUCUCAUAUUCUAGCAAAGGUAUAUACCUUUCACAGAGAAAAUAUGCUCUAGGUAUCCUAGAGGAAUGUGGGCUUUCAGGAGCAAAACCAUCCACAAUACCCAUGGAAAGGCAUGUAGACCUUAAAAAUGACAAAUCUAAGUUAAUUCAAAACCCAACCUUCUAUAGGAAGAUAGUAGGAAAACUGAUAUAUCUCAAUAUAACUAGACCAGAUAUUAGCUUCCCAGUGAAUUGGCUAAGCCAAUUCAUGCAAGAACCAAAAGAAAUACAUUUACAGGUAUUAUUCAAACUAAUAAGAUACAUUAAAAAUGCACCUGGACAAGGUCUAAUAUAUAAUAGAAAUGAAAAUAUGGUCUUGCAAGGCUAUUGUGAUGCUGAUUGGGCAUCAUGUCAAGUGAGUAGAAAAUCAUUGACAGGGUUUUGCUUAAUGUUGGGAGAUUCAC